AGACUUGAAAUUUAAAAUGUAUGCCUUAUAGAUAAUGAGAAGGUGUCUAAAUAAUCUAUCUUUAGAAAUCAACUCCCUUUUGGGGUUAAAACGGGGGAUGGUAGGUUUACUCACUCACCACGAAAUCUCCGAAACUAUAACACCUAAAAACUUGAAAUUUGGCAGAUAGACUCCUUAUAGGGCGUAAACAUUCGCCAAGAACAGGUUUUACGAAAUUCGACCCCUAGAGGGGUAAAACGGUGGUUGGAAGUUUGUAUGAAAGUCCUAUGUUUUUGAAGUAAACGACUUGAAAUUUAAAAUGUAUGCUCCAUAGAUGGUGAGGAGGUCUCUAAACAAUGUAUCUUUAGAAAUAAACUC
rnacentral:misc_RNA from 1 species